rnacentral:rRNA from 1 species
UACGUUGGGGGCAAGCGUUGUCCGGAAUCAUUGGGCGUAAAGCGCGUGUAGGCGGUCCGGUAAGUCCGCUGUGAAAGUCGGGGGCUCAACCCUCGGAUGCCGGUGGAUACUGUCGGGCUUGAGUACGGAAGAGGCGAGUGGAAUUCCUGGUGUAGCGGUGAAAUGCGCAGAUAUCAGGAGGAACACCAAUUGCGAAGGCAGCUCGCUGGGACGUUACUGACGCUGAGACGCGAAAGCGUGGGGAGCAAACAGG